rnacentral:rRNA from 1 species
GACGGAGGGGGCAAGCGUUGUCCGGAAUCACUGGGCGUAAAGAGCGCGUAGGUGGUCGCGCCAGUCGGCGGUGAAAGCCCUCGGCUCAACCGGGGGAGGACUGCCGAUACUGCGUGACUAGAGGACCGGAGAGGGAAGCGGAAUUCCCGGUGGAGCGGUGAAAUGCGUAGAGAUCGGGAGGAACACCCGUGGCGAAGGCGGCUUCCUGGACGGACCCUGACGCUGAGGCGCGAAAGCCAGGGGAG